CAGAGUCAAACAACAAAUAUUUGUUCCGAGUUCAUCAUGUCAAUCCUUCGAAGGAUUAGCGGUUCGCUUGUGUUGUGUGUUUUUUUUGGAGGGGGGUUUCUUCACAUAUUCCACAUAUUCCAAUGGAGGAACCAGCCUCAACAAGUUCCUCUGUGGAGCAUAGGUGGCUCUUUGUGCCUCUUUUUUCCAUCUUUCUUUCCAGCACUAAUCACCUCCUCGCCUGCGCACCUGGUUCCAAUCAGCACUCAUCACUGCCUGCAUUUAAGCCUGCCAGUUCCAGUGUUCGAGCACCAGAGUAUUCUCGCUCCCACGCGUGCCUUCCUGUGCCUCCUGCCACAACGCCCACACCAACCACACUGCCAAGCUCACUCACCUGCUAGCGCUCCAGUCUCCUGCAUGCUCCCUGCUCCUCCGGACCCAGCUCAAGUCUUGGAGUUCUUGACCUUGCGCUUCACCCUAAUAAAGCCUUUCCAACUGCU